rnacentral:rRNA from 1 species
CAAUAGCGUAUAUUAAAGUUGUUGCGGUUAAAAAGCUCGUAGUUGGAUUUCUGCCGAGGACGACCGGUCCGCCCUCUGGGUGUGUAUCUGGUUUGGCCUGGGCAUCUUCUUGGAGAACGUAGCUGCACUUGACUGUGUGGUGCGGUGUCCAGGACUUUUACUUUGAGGAGAUUAGAGUGUUUCAAGCAGGCACACGCCUUGAAUACAUUAGCAUGGAAUAAUAAGAUAGGACCUCGGUUCUAUUUUGUUGGUUUCUAGAGCUGAGGUAAUGAUUAAUAGGGAUAGUUGGGGGCAUUCGUAUUUAACUGUCAGAGGUGAAAUUCUUGGAUUUGUUAAAGACGGACUACUGCGAAGGCAUUUGCCAAGGAUGUUUUCAUUGA